CCUCUACUACUUCAUAGCUAUGCCAUCAUUAGAUGAUUGGAUGCUUAAUCUUGUACAAUUAUGGGACUUUGAGGUUUUUGUUCUUUUUUUUUUUUUUACCUUAUUGCCUUGUCUCUCCAACUGGAUUAGCUUAUCCCAAUAGCUUUUAAAUAUUGCCUUGCACACAAUAGAUCUCAAUGAAUAAUGGUGAUGAUAACUUGAGCACUCCACCAUUCUACGGCCAACUCCUUUUUCUGGGAACCCCCACUCUCUUCCAUCUGCGUGAGUCAAGGGGAGCAAUCACAUCUCUGUUUCAGCCACCAUGACUUAAGCAGAAGACUCUACAGGGACUUCUGGAAAAGUUUUGCUUUCUUGAUGAAAGAGAGCAGACGACAUCAGGAGCCACCCCUUUGGACUCUUCCUCCUUUCCCCUUGCCUUGAAAACAG
rnacentral:lncRNA from 1 species